rnacentral:snoRNA from 1 species
CCCGCCACUAUGCCCGUCUGUCCCAGUGACUGAGUGUAAUCCAGUGGAGGCUCAGAUUGACCCAGCUUUAGGAAACAGGGCGGUCCAGAACCGAUGGGUCACUCUGUGCCGAAAAGUCUGGAACACAG